rnacentral:rRNA from 1 species
GCAGUCGACGGUAACGGAAGCAGCUUGCUGCUUCGCUGACGAGUGGCGGACGGGUGAGUAAUGUCUGGGAAACUGCCUGAUGGAGGGGGAUAACUACUGGAAACGGUAGCUAAUACCGCAUAACGUCGCAAGACCAAAGAGGGGGACCUUCGGGCCUCUUGCCAUCGGAUGUGCCCAGAUGGGAUUAGCUUGUUGGUGGGGUAACGGCUCACCAAGGCGACGAUCCCUAGCUGGUCUGAGAGGAUGACCAGCCACACUGGAACUGAGACACGGUCCAGACUCCUACGGGAGGCAGCAGUGGGGAAUAUUGCACAAUGGGCGCAAGCCUGAUGCAGCCAUGCCGCGUGUAUGAAGAAGGCCUUCGGGUUGUAAAGCUUUUUCAGCGGGGAGGAAGGGAGUAAAGUUAAUACCUUUGCUCAUUGACGUUACCCGCAGAAGAAGCACCGGCUAACUCCGUGCCAGCAGCCGCGGUAAUACGGAGGGUGCAAGCGUUAAUCGGAAUUACUGGGCGUAAAGCGCACGCAGGCGGUUUGUUAAGUCAGAUGUGAAAUCCCCGGGCUCAACCUGGGAACUGCAUCUGAUACUGGCAAGCUUGAGUCUCGUAGAGGGGGGUAGAAUUCCAGGUGUAGCGGUGAAAUGCGUAGAGAUCUGGAGGAAUACCGGUGGCGAAGGCGGCCCCCUGGACGAAGACUGACGCUC